GAAAGAGGUUCACGGUUCCCCUUGUCAGCGUGCUUCUUUUACGUUUCUUCUUCAAGCUUCUUCUUACCUUCCUAAAUUUUCAGUUUCACUUAUUCAUGAAACCCACUACGCCCAAACUUAACUUUCAAUUUGCCCCCAUAUUUCAAAUCGAAUCGUACUUGCCUCCAAAUUUCACUUCGUGCCUACCCUAAAACUUUUCACCCAUUCACUUCUUUCUCUCGUUUCUUGUUUUUCAAAAUCUCUCCUUCUUUUCCCUCCUUAUUUUUUCAGCAGUAACUCUGAAAAUGCCUUUCUUGUGCAUCCUUCGUCUGAAUCCGACGUUUCCCUCCUUCUCUUUUCUCCUUCGUCGUGAGCGAAACCAACCACAAGUAAAACCUGUCAUCGUCGGGACCCAACCCGCUAGUGAGCCUGCCGUCGUGAUGCUGCCAUCAUUGACGGAGGUUGCUCCUGCACCGGUCAGCCACAUUUGUUGCCUUGUUGGGUUGAAGGGGCCAUUUUCCCCAAUUUCUUCACCAGUUGCGUUUCUCAUAACAUAAAUCUGAGUGGGGUGUUCAGAUUUUCUCUGAUCCCUACCCAUUCACGUUUCUGUCCUUGAUAGGAAUUAAAUUGGUAUUUACUCAAUAAUAGUUAAAGAUCAAAUUAGACUAUGAUAUAAUACCUCUGUGAUGGAAUCCAGACACUUCCGUGCUAUCGACACAUUGUCUCUGCUUUAAUCGCUGAUUGUUUCGAUUUUUCACCCUUUCCAUCCGAAACAUCAAGCUGAGAUUUAUUUGAGAAGAAAGAAAUGUGGCCUUGUGAAGCUUGUGGGUUGAACUUUCCUUAUAAGAUGUACAAGAAGAAAAAAGAUUUAAGGGUCGGGAGCCAAUUCCUAUGUAGAACAUAAAAGAGUUUUUAACAAAAUCAAAGCAUUAUUGUGGCAUAUGCAAGAAAGUUUGGGAUCUUCAGAUAGUGGAAGUUGGGUGCACUGUGACAGAUGGAGAGGAGUGUGAGUGCAUGCAGAAUGUGACAAAAAUUUUAGCAACCUUUUCAAGGUUUACCCAUUACUUGAUAUUUUGUCUCUUUGGAGGAAGAGGGUAGAGGACCAGAAGAACAUUGGAAGAAGUUGUUAGAAGGGAUGUCACGGGGAAUAAUUCUCUAAGGAUUUGUUUUUUGACUGUACCCAAUGACUAGUUGCUUCCAUUUUUAUAAUCUAGAGCUGGAACAAGUGGAGUAAGAUCUAGAUUUCAUAAUGUUGUCUCGCCAAUUCAAAGCUACUGCUAUGGAGCUUAUUUAUGUUUUGGAGCUGAAACAAAGAACUGGUUGAAGGGUUGCAAUUAAGGGUCACCUUAUGAGUGGCAAGUUUACAGGUUAAUUCUAUAUGGAUGGUAAGAUUUGGGGAGUUGAAGGGAGUAGGGGCAAUGAUUGAACAAGUUAAAGGGUUUUCGUAUUCAGUUUUUUCUCUUCAUGGUGCAAGCCCUUUCCUUCCAACAACAGAUGGUGAUGUGCAAGAGAAGCAUAAUGAAUCAAUAACAACUAUUUAGAAGAGCAAGAAGUCAUGGUGGAGAGUUUUGAAAUAUUAGUGUAUUAGUAGUUAUGAACAUUCUUUUAGAUACUUUUCUAUUUUUCAUAUUUUUCUUAAUAUUUUAUAUUUUUUUUGUAUAUAAUAGAACCAAUAAAUUUGUAUAUAAUAAAACCAAUAUUUUAUAUUAUCUUUUGAA